CAUUUAGUUAUUUGACAAAAAUCAAUCAAUGACCAACGAACACAAGCAGUUCUGAAACUUGUAGCAACAGUCACGAGCCUAACAUUUUUUUGUAUGAACAUUUACUCACACCACCACAAGUAGUAAGGCAGAUCAUUUGAAAACAGAUACCCAAGGCUGGCAGCAGAAUGGAAAUCUAUGAAAACUCAAUCCAAAAUGCUCAACUACACAUCAUUUGCAUUGCACAUCUACGCUUAAGAAAAUUCACUAGUACAAUGAAGAGCUUACUACCAAUUGUAUUCCACAGCAUCAACUAAAGACUAAACACCCAGUUCAAACAACACUAUAUCAUACCACUGAUGUUCCACUAGAUGUGUCGGCAGAAGUGCAACUUUCAGAUACAGAUGGCAUCAGAAGCACAACUUUCAUACAACAGAUGCACUCAUACAGGAUUGUCCGAAUUGCUUGAGUAUAGCCAUUGUGUAUAUCUUCACAGCAUGGUCCUCAAUAGCUAAGUUUGCCCUCAUUAGCGGCCUCCCCUAUCAUUAUCACAAAACAAAACAAGGUUAUUAUCAAGAAUUCCCCUGGUUCCAGCCCUCGAUAAUAUCAUUCAAGCAGCAACAUGCAAUUCUAGUCAUCUUCUCUUCAUACUUCUCUGACUCGCGGUCGAAUUGAGAUAACUAAAGGUAGAUCAGUCAAAGGCUACAUCAGGAAGUGGUGCGUUCGGCAUGUAUGAAAGUUGUACUAUCGCUGAGGGAGUUCCGGUUGUAAUUCCUCAGCACGCUCAUCAAGGCGACCCUAAGAAACCAAUUGGAAACAACUUUGUCGUCAUCAGAAAGCAGCAUUGGCGCUAGUAAAACACCUUGUUCCUAACCAGGACAGUGAAGAACAGAAACAUAAACACACCCAACAACAUCAAUGGAGAGACUAAUGUAUCCAGUAAUGAGAUGGACAGGUCAGAUGCGUCAAAUCCAAUGAGCAACCAAUGGAAAAGGUAGCUGUAUGAACAAAAAACCAGGAAUACAAGAAAAAUACCUAGCAGCAGAGAAAAACGAAACAUCAGAAGGCAGAGGUCAUAGUCUAGACAACGGCACUGGAGCGGAAAAACAUGGGAGUGAGGACAAUAGGUGUCACAUAAGUAUUUAGUAUACGUUAUAUUGUGCUGAGACAAUAAACAACAGUUUUUUCUUCACAUUUUAUUCGAUCAAUGAUAGAUGUGUAAGCAAGUAACUAAACCUUAUUUAAUCUUUGUACAUCGUUUCAGAAAUUAUAAGGAGGUUGUCAACACCACGGGUGAGCUCAUCGUUAAUCAGGUUAUCCUCAUGCAGCCCAUCGUCAUAGGUAGAUUUUAAAGGUAAAUUGUGAUCUAAAAAUAUUGCACGAAUUUCCAAAAAGUAUAGAGGUCUGGAGGGAAAAGGUGUCGAGAUGAUCCCCUUCAUACAUGUCUCGCAAUGCAAGCAUCUUAUCUUAUUUGAACAUCAGAAUGCAUUACUACUGCCUCUACAUGUGAUAGAUGUUAGCGAACAUGUUCAUCAUACUUAGAAGUUAAAACCAAUGGAAAAAAGCAUUGCCUGUCCUCCAUCCACAAAGAAAUAAUAGUAUAGUGAUUGGCUGCAUCAGGAGAAAUAUGUAAAUCGUAAGAUUUAACAAAUUUGUCUAACUUAUAUAGAUAAUAUAAUAAAUAAUAAUCAUUCAAAGCAGCACAUGGAUAGAUAAGACAUACCACACCAAAUCAACAGCAUGAGCAACACUAAAAUAUAUCUCCAUGGCAUACCAGAAAUCAGCUGUGCAGGAAAUAAAUUGAUAAAAUUAGAAAUGACACACUUAUUCAAGGUCCAUGACUGAAGCUACCUUAAGAACGAUUAACUUAUCCUAGCAAACACUUAAGAUCCAAUAAUGAAAGAAAUCCUAGUUGGACUAAAAGGUAUUGAUGUUACAUUACAUGAUAAACCAAUAUUUUGAGUGAGCUCCAUCGACAAAAUUCUGUAGCGCCUUUCUUAAGUGGUUUGAUAUGAUCAGAACCAGCUAGGCCAAAGAAAAUAAAUAUCUAUGGUAGAAGUUUGAAAGCAAUAUGAGAUUCUUUAACGGCAUGGACACACUGCACAUAACCUGCAUGCCGCAAAGAAAUCACUUUUAUGCCUAACUAAUGGCCUGUAGUUGUAACAUGAGAACAAAGGUAUAGAUCACCGAACAAUCAGCUAGAAGUGCGUAGGACCCAAGAUGAAAGCAACAAAAGUACAAGGCUGUUGAGUAGUGACUGCGGAUCUAACCCAGCAUGCCACAGAUAUUGGUUUUGGCGUGGGACUCCUCUGUGACCAUGCUUCGACAGCCCGAAGUCUGAAACCUUUGAUCGCAGCUGCUUGUCCAUCAGGAUGUUGCUCAUCUUGAUGCCUCAGUGGAUGAUCAACGGCAUGCAUCCACUAUGCAGGUCCAACAGAAAAAAAGUUACAAAACCCAGAUUUCUGUUUUCUAUUGUUAUCUAUAAAUAUACUUGGAAGUAAUUAAUCUAGCACUCCACACGAAUAAACUGAAAAGCAAUAUAUAGUUCAAUCGCUCUAGAAAUAAAUGCUUGAACUAUAUGUACAUUUCAAGCCUGCGAUGAAUAACCAAAACACCGUUAAUCAUAUGUGGAUUGGGAACAGUUGAACGGUGGUGAUUGCUAAGGACACUAGUUUCUAGUUAUACUGUACACAACAACAAAAUCAUCACGUCAUUUUCCCCUUUUCGAGAUGCUGAGGUCCACCAUUCCAUAACUAGUUGCCACAAAUCUACAUCCCGCACUAAUCUGAUCCAGAUUUCAGAGGAAAAGAAUCUUAGCAAUAGUGCUAUCAGACACAACCAAAGUAUAUACGAAUUUCUAAACCGCACACACCUUUAUGUCCACCCCGGG
rnacentral:lncRNA from 1 species